AUGGGACGUAAAAAGAAGAAGCAGUCGAGACCCUGGUGUUGGUAUUGUAAUCGAGAAUUUGAAGAUGAAAAAAUUCUUAUACAACAUCAAAAAGCAAAACACUUUAAAUGUCACAUUUGCCAUAAGAAGCUUUAUACGGGACCAGGACUUAGUAUACAUUGUAUGCAGGUACACAAAGAAGCUAUAGAUAAGGUACCUAAUUCUUUGCCAAAUCGGAGUAAUAUUGAAAUAGAAAUUUAUGGUAUGGAAGGUAUACCACCAAAUGAUGCAAAAGAACAUGAAAGGCAAAGAAAUGGAGGUAGACCUGGUUCACCAAGUUCUGGUGAAGAUGAACCAGUUCGAAAGAAAGCAAAACCAGAAGGUUUAUUAGGUUCUGCACCAGGAGCAAUGCCUACAGGUUCCAAUAUGAUGCCAGGCGUAAUGCCAGGUAUGGCAGCUCAUCCUGGUAUGCCACCAAUGGGACAGUUCCCACCACCCAUGCAUCAUAUGAUGGGACCUAUGGGUCCUGUAGGUCCACCUUUCAUGGGUCCUGGUAUGAUGCCUGGAAUGCCAGGUAUGCCACCAGGUAUACAACCACCAGUGUCAGGUGCAUCCAUACCACCAACGCGACCAUUAUUUCCAAGUGCUGCAGCUGUUUCAACUGCUGCAUCUACAGCCGUGACUUCUCCUUUGGGCACAGAUUUUAAGCCAAUUACAUCAGUGGCUGGUGGAUCUAUAGGACCGGUUAAGCCAACAUUCCCUGCAUAUAGUAAUGCAGAUAGCAAUACUAGCACUAAUAAUAAUAUUGGAAAUGAUCAGAAAGUAAAUCUUAUAGCCACUACUAGUGCUGCCAUUAAAAUCAUUCAUCCUCCAGAAGACCUUAGUUUAGAGGAAAUUAGAGCAAGACUUCCAAAGUAUCAACGGCGGCAAAGUGAAGAAGCUCGAACUGUACAAGCUGCUGAUGCCAAUCAACAAGCUGUUGCAUUGCAGCAGCAACAACAACAACAGCAACAGCAGCAACAACAAGCUGCUGCUGCUAAUGCAGCUGCUGCAUUUCAGGAUCAACAGCAGCGACAACAAGCGGCAUUAAAUGCACUUCAACAACAACAACAAAGAUUUCAGAGACCUCCACAAGCAGUAAUGGUUCCUGCAUCUGCAGCAAUGCCUGUUAGUUCUGUUGCACUGAUGGCACCGCUUAUGCGACCCACUAUGACUCUAGCCGCACCUGCUCUGAUUCAUGGAGGUAACAUGAUGCGACCGCCCCCCAUGGGCCUACCACCAGGGAUGAUAGGAGCGUUGCCACCAGGGGCAAUGCAUCCGGCAUUCGCAACUCCAAUGGGUUUUCCUGGUGCACCAAUGUUGGCUCCAAUGAUGCAUCCACGCUUCAGAUGAUCACCUCCUAUGGACGGGCCCACUCCGCCACUGCACUUCGUGCUCUGGGCCCGCCCCUAAAUUUUAUUAGGGUCCGGACCUGACUGAGAAGAGGAGGAAAGCACGCGUAAAACAUGUUAGCUCGCGUGGGCACACUUCGUUGAUCGGCCGCGGCUGCACUUGACGCAUCCUCUCCUACGAAGUUCACACGAAACUAACGGAAGUUGGCACGUAAACGUAUUGCGAAAGUGUGGCGAAGACGGUGCAAGAGGAGGCUGCAAACUAAAGCCAUGAGAGAUAUUUUCCGCUUACUGUAUGUUGAUGAUAAUAGAGAUUAUGAAUUGUACAAAGCUGUGUAAUUCAGCUGUUUGUCUGUGAAAAUACGAAUUUGUGUAAAUCUUCUUUCACUUCCUGAAGGUUCACCUCAGUAGGCACCCUGUUUGUCUAUUCUUUCUCUCGACUUCUAUCAUUACUUCGAGAAAAAUUAUGAAACAGCAUACCGCGCCGUACAACACGUGUACGUACCUAAAAGAACUACGCAUCGUUAUGAAUAUACUUCAUUUCCUGGGGUUGUCUUUCCGAAUCGUGUCUUUCCGCUGCUGUCGUUUUAUCGGAAACAGAGGUGAUUCGUGCAAGCGUCUACUUUCAGGCCGAUAGAAUUCAGUGCGGAAUUCAGCCGAAAGAGGCGCUUCCCGUCUCUUAAGGCUGUUAAAGUACGGCCAGACAUUGUUUCUCGACCGCGCUUUCCUUUCGUUCUGAGAUUCGGCAGGACAAUCUGAUGACAGAAUUGGACAUGUAGAAGUUUUGUUAUUUAUUGAGUGUCACAUUAUCAAGUUGUUCCGAAUAAAGACGUUCUGUGGAAAGUUCGAAAGAUUGGGCAUAGUCUGUCGUUCUGGGAAACUAUUUUCUUUGAACAAUCUUAUCGGUUGAAACGAACAGUAAUGUACAUUAUAAUACAUGCGUAUGUUAUACAGCUUGUAACACUCACACGUAUAGGAAACGUGUAGGAAACUCAACGAAUGUACUUUGUAUUUUAUUUUACAUUUUUCGUUUUCUUAUUUCUGUUGGCAAGCAAACAGAGCAACUGUACGUUGAUAAAUUUUCUCCCAGAAUGGCGGGCGACAGCCACAUAUUGUUUCAACCAAUCACAGCUCUGACCGCUGUUGGACCUUAUCGGUCCCUUGCCUGAAGGCAGGCGAUUGUUUGGACCUACCGUCCUAAAGUCGAGGUACUUGUAUUCCCAACUAUACAUUUCGCUUAUAGUUUCUAAACGCCUUUCGGUAUUUCUACGGUACCGCGUUCCAGUAUCGUUUAAUACUACGCGUAUUAAAUGCGUGUUAUAUCUUUUCAAAAUGGACGCUCGAAAGCGAGAGUAACGUUUAGUCCGUGCAAGAUUGGCAAGUUAGAAGUAAAAUAUAUUGGGAAGUGUCACGACCUUGGCUUCGUGGACGCGUGGCUGGACCGAGAAACAAUAUCAAUCGUAAUCGAUAAUGAGUCGUGGGUAAAUCGUGUUAACUGACCCGAUCGUUCGAAACGUUGGAACGAGAGAAUUGUUCCGAAUUAUCUUACGAAUAAAAUAAUUUCCUCGUUAGUUAUUUUUAAUUUUUAUCUUUAGCGAUAUUGU